rnacentral:ncRNA from 2 species
UAUUUGUUUGUUUAUCCAUUUCGUAUAGCCCCAAUAAACGGUUUGGGGGUUUCUACAAGGUAACCAAAAACCUUACUACGGAAAGGCGUCUUUCAUUA